rnacentral:lncRNA from 1 species
AAAAAAAAGAUUCAGAGAGAAACUAGUUGAUGUUGCUGUACCAUACAUGAAGGAUCAUCUGUCUCUUUUCAUAAAUUUGUACAUAUUGUACGUUUCAUUGAGGUACAGAUUUAAUUUCAAUUAGAGUGAGAUUGUUUACAUUUUUGUGGGUGAUGUUAUAGCACCUAGCUAAUAUAAUAAGUACUUGGAUGAUUUACUGGAAAUCUAACUUCAAAAACUGGGUCAUUUAAUACUUAAAGGCAUCUUAUAUACUUGUGAAUUUUAGAUAUUAUUUGUUACAUUGCAUUCAGUGCCUUAAGUUAUUAGUCUAAAAAAAAGCCAGUAAUUUCUUGGGUCCAGAAAUUUUACGUACAGAAAAUUUGUGUCUUUAUAGGAACUCAAGGACAUCUAAAAUUACAAACUUUGUGCACUUUUACUUUUGAGUGUAUUAAGUUGUGGCGGACGUAUUAGUCAUCUAUAAUGGUGCCUGUGAUUACUCGACCAUGAAGAACUGGGCAUACACACUCAGCAUGGUAAACAGCAAGUUCCCAACUGAUUUUCUUCUCUGAUCGUCACAGCAGUUAAUAUGUGCUUGACCCAGGCUCCUUGUGUAACUCAAAGAAAGUGAAGGAUUUCAUAAAACUUGGUAAAGUGCUAUUUAAAACAGUUACAAUUAACCUCAGAGCUAAAAAAAAUAAAAAUAAAAAAUAAAAAAAAUAUAAAAAACCAACGAAGCUCUGAUCUCACUCAUAUAACUGGAAAAAGUCAGAGAAACAAAAUGUUAACUACUCUUUUGAAACCCAAAAAAAGAACUAAAUUUGCAGGGCAAACAGCUGACCUAAAACACAGAGAGUCCCCUCCAGGAAGGAGGCUGACCCUGGGCAUUGCUUAUGUGGGAUCGUUCCCAAGGUCAUAAAGCCAAUUAGAAGAUUCAGCUGGAAACAUUUAGCAAAUUGCUAAAGGUCAGAUGUGGGGGUCACAAGGGCAGGCCACAAACCCAGGAAGGGUAGUUUUCUCUAGCGGGUUGUGGCCCCACCAGGCACCCACGGGGAACACCUGGGAGAAUCCUGAGAGCCUGCCCUAUGGCCUCAUUCGGGGGAGGGGAAGGCAGCCUCUGUGAGCCUGCAUCCCAACCCUUCUCCUCUCUCCCUUGGGUCAGAGCCUUCAUCUACAGAGACACAGAACUACAGCCUGAGGGCACGGAGGACCCCACACCCCAAAACUCAACUCUAACUCAUCUCUCCUGUCCUUCCUAAGCACAAAGCAAGGUGGACACCCACUGUACUUCGGGAGGGGAAUAGGAGAAAACUAACCCUGCCCUGGGGGAAGAGGCUGGCGUGUGUGUGCCAAUGCUGUCGUAUCUGGAGGAAAGGCAGGGACGCUGGUGAACAGCCCAUCAAGACCACGUUCACAGUGCCUGUCAAGGGUGGAGGGGUCAUCAGACAUCAGACACCAGCUUCCCUCCCCAGCUCUCCAACCACCACACUAAGGAGCCCUGAGUCCUAGUAACAUGGGGUACAACCGGGAGAGCCAUGCAGAGGAAGGUCCCCAAGCCAAGGGCAAGACUCAACAGCCACACAGAGAGCAGACUUCACACCCUGCCCAGCAAACCAUCCUCCACCCCAAAGGUCCAGCUGGACAAAGGUGUUCUUAUGGCCAAGCAUGUAUUUUUUUUCUCAGAAUAUAUAUGUGCUUUUUUCUCAGAAUCUACUGUUGUAGACAACAUAUUUGGCUUUCAACAAAAAAACAAAAUAUGUGACAACCAAAAAAGCAAGAAGCAGCAGUCUGAAGGGGCAAAGCCAUCAUCAAGGUCAGCAUUACAUAGGACGCAGGGAAGGUGCUGGGGCUGGGGCUGAGUGGUAGCGCACUUGCCUGGUGUGUGUAAGGAACUGGGUUCAAUUCUCAGCACCGCAUGUAAAUAAAUAAAAUAUUGGUCCGUCAACAACUAAAUAAAUAUUUUUUUAAAAAAAUUAUGAGAAUUUAAAUGGCUACUUCUAAUAUGAUAAUGGCCCUUAAAGAAAAUGGAGACAGUGGGCUGGGGAUGUGGCUCAAGUGGUAGAGCGCUUACCUAGCAUGUGUGAGGCACUGGGUUCGAUUCUCAGCACCACAUAAAAAUGAAAUAAAGAUAUUGUGUCCACCUAAAACAAAAAAAAUAAAUAUUAAAAAAAAGAAAAUGGACACAGCAUGCAAAAUAAUAUAUUAGUAAUUUUGCCAGAGAGAUGGAAACUACUAGGAGGGAGCCCAAUGAAACAAUUAGAAAUGGAAAACACAGAAAGAUGAAAAAUGAAUUUAUCAAUAGACAAAUAGAAUCAUUGAACACAAAGAUAAGUGAGUAGAAGUCACGCACACUGAAAUGCAAAGAGAUUGAAAGAAAACAAAUAGAAAUGAGCAUUGAAGACCUGAAGUGUUUAAAUGAUUUAAUACUCGUGUGAUUAGAAUCCCAGAAGGAGGAAAAAAGAGAACAAGGCAGAAGAAAUCAUGGGGAAAAUGUCCAAAAUUAAUGGCAGACACCAAAGCAUAUAUCCCAGAAACUCAAGCUUCAAGAGUACCUGGCAAGAUAAAUACCAGCACACACACACACACACACACACACACACACACACACACACACACACACACUAAGGGGUAUCUAGCCCCUGAAAACCAAAGAGAGAAAAAUCUUGAAGUUAGUGGGAGGUAAAGCUGUGUUGCCUAGAGAGGACCCAGUGUAGGAAGUACAUCAGACCACUCUCCAAAACCAGGCAAGCAAGAAGACGGUGGAACAGCAUCCUCUCCUUAACAAAAACAUUCUUCAAAAGGGAAGGACAAAUAGCCAGGGGCAAUGGCGCACUCCGGGGACUGAGGCAGGAGGAUGGUG